rnacentral:rRNA from 1 species
AUUGAACGCUGGCGGCAGGCCUAACACAUGCAAGUCGAGCGGGGAAGGUUGCUUCGGUGACUGACCUAGCGGCGGACGGGUGAGUGAUGCUUAGGAAUCUGCCUAUUAGUGGGGGACAACGUUCCGAAAGGAACGCUAAUACCGCAUACGCCCUACGGGGGAAAGCAGGGGAUCUUCGGAACUUGCGCUAAUAGAUGAGCCUAAGUCGGCUUAGCUAGUUGGUGGGGUAAAGGCCUACCAAGGCGACGAUCUGUAGCGGGUCUGAGAGGAUGAUCCGCCACACUGGGACUGAGACACGGCCCAGACUCCUACGGGAGGCAGCAGUGGGGAAUAUUGGACAAUGGGCGCAAGCCUGAUCCAGCCAUGCCGCGUGUGUGAAGAAGGCCUUUUGGUUGUAAAGCACUUUAAGCGAGGAGGAGGCUCCUUUAGUUAAUACCUAAAGUGAGUGGACGUUACUCGCAGAAUAAGCACCGGCUAACUCUGUGCCAGCCGCCGCGGUAA